rnacentral:rRNA from 1 species
UGUAAGCGUAUACCAAAGUUGUUGCAGUUAAAACGCUCGUAGUCGGAAUUUGGCAGUUCCGGAUGUGUGCACGUCGUGUGCGCACUUCGCGGGGAUUGCUUUUGUGGUCUUGCGUAGGAUGAGGCACUUUUAUUAGUGAACGUCCUCACGCAACCACUUUUUACUGUGAGAAAAUCAGAGUGCUCAAAGCAGGCAUUUGCCGUGAAUGUAUUAGCAUGGAAUAAUAGAAUAGGACUUGGUUCUAUUUUGUUGGUUUGUUGGGACUGAGUAAUGAUUAAGAGGGACAGUUGGGGGCAUUUGUAUUUCGGUGCUAGAGGUAAAAUUCUUAGAUUACCGAAAGACAAACUGCUGCGAAAGCGUCUGCCAAGGAUGUUUUCAUUGA